rnacentral:lncRNA from 1 species
UUCCAAGGGAACCAGGCCUCAGCAUCAGGCCUGUUCUGCCCUGGCCUCGGAUUGUAGCACUACUCCAGCCUCGAACGUCGUCGGCAUCGAUUCUACUCUAUCCUAUCAGUCACAAGGGAGCCACAGGCCAGCCUGGGUUCCCGGGGAUGGAGAGACUCUGCUUCUGCAUGGGGGAAUGACACGGUCACACUGCAGAAGAACACGAGUGUAGGAGGCAGCGUCAUGGCCAUUUUCGGUAAACACAACCUGCUGCUCACCCGCCUUGCCCAAGCCUACCUCUUCCAGAAACUUCUGUGUCCCAAUUAUGGUUCACCUUGAUGUCCUAAAGUGCGUUUCUCUUCUACAACUCUCUUUUUGGGGAUGUCGCCAAUAAUCUAUAUUUCAACAAGAUGGAUAAAGCUGUGAAAAGGAUCGGAUUCUGCCCAGGACUUCAAGUAUGUGACCUCAGCAGAACUGACCAAUACAUUACUGGAGCAGAAUAAUCAGUCUUGAAAUAAACCCAUGGAUAAAGGAUGGA